rnacentral:rRNA from 1 species
CUGGGACAAGCCCUGGAAACGGGGUCUAAUACCGGAUACUGACCCGCUUGGGCAUCCAAGCGGUUCGAAAGCUCCGGCGGUGCAGGAUGAGCCCGCGGCCUAUCAGCUUGUUGGUGAGGUAAUGGCUCACCAAGGCGACGACGGGUAGCCGGCCUGAGAGGGCGACCGGCCACACUGGGACUGAGACACGGCCCAGACUCCUACGGGAGGCAGCAGUGGGGAAUAUUGCACAAUGGGCGAAAGCCUGAUGCAGCGACGCCGCGUGAGGGAUGACGGCCUUCGGGUUGUAAACCUCUUUCAGCAGGGAAGAAGCGAAAGUGACGGUACCUGCAGAAGAAGCGCCGGCUAACUACGUGCCAGCAGCCGCGGUAAUACGUAGGGCGCGAGCGUUGUCCGGAAUUAUUGGGCGUAAAGAGCUCGUAGGCGGCUUGUCACGUCGGUUGUGAAAGCCCGGGGCUUAACCCCGGGUCUGCAGUCGAUACGGGCAGGCUAGAGUUCGGUAGGGGAGAUCGGAAUUCCUGGUGUAGCGGUGAAAUGCGCAGAUAUCAGGAGGAACACCGGUGGCGAAGGCGGAUCUCUGGGCCGAUACUGACGCUGAGGAGCGAAAGCGUGGGGAGCGAACAGGAUUAGAUACCCUGGUAGUCCACGCCGUAAACGG